rnacentral:lncRNA from 1 species
UAUUAAUUUAAUUUAAAAUUUUCUCUCUCAUAUUUUCAAUUACAUAAUUUUAAUAAAAUAAUGUUAUACGUAAAUUGAAAAUUUUCAUUUUUUAAUAAUUAUCUAUUUAAAAAAAAUACUAUUUUCCAUUAUAAAUCCAAAUAAUGGAUCAAACGGGGGCCUGAAUAGAUAGCCCAUUUUAGACACGAGACUGAAAUCUCAGACAGAACAGAGAGAAGAAGAGCUAGGCAACGAACAAGAAAAUGAACACAGACAUUACAGCAUCGGCAAAGCCGGAGUAUCAGGUGAUUGAUCGGAACCCUCCGUUUACUAAGACGGUGGCCAAUUUCAACACCCUCGACUACCUCCGCCUCACCACAAUCACCGGCGUUUCCGUCGUCGUCGGCUACCUCUCCGGUACAGAAAUGUACCCAUUCUUUUAGUAUUAUGUGAUUGAUUGUUCAUUUUGUUUAAUCGUGAUUGAUUGUUCAUUUUGGAUAUUGUUAUAUUGAUUGAAAUUUUUCUUAAUUUUUUCCGUUUAAAAAUUGACUGAUAGGAAUUAAGCCGGGAAUAAGGGGCCCAUCUAUGGUAACUGGUGGUUUGAUUGGGGUGAUGGGAGGUUUCAUGUACGCCUACCAGAAUUCAGCCGGGAGGCUCAUGGGAUUUUUCCCCAACGAAGGGGAGGUUAUAAAGUACAAGAAGUUUUCCUCUUAGGGUUUUUUCUCCUUUGCAUUUAUAUUGUAUUUUUUUUUUACCCUAAUUUGUUUCGCAUUGUUUGCAUUGUGUGUUUGGAAGUCUUUAUAAUAUUAACAAUAAUCAAACCGUUGGUCCUGAUACUCUAAAUUCCUGGUGCUGCAGAUAUUGUAUGUUUCAAUGUGUAAUUGAAUGCUGCUUAUCCUCCUGUUUACACCCAUCAAAUUGGUAUGUUUUGAAGGUAGAUUGUUAUCGCAAUUCAAUUGCAUAAUGUUUGCCUAUGGAUAUUCUAGUGAUACUUCUAUGUUAGUGACAGAAAAUCUGUAAUUAGGAAUUUGCCUUUACAGCUAGGUUCAGUUAUUGACGCUUCCCAUCCUUGGUGGUGUUCUGUGAUGAGCAUUCUUUAACCUUGUGUAAAUUUGGACGAAUGGCUCCAUAAUAACGAAGAAUUCUACAAAUUAGUUUCGUCCAAACUUGUUUGAAGGUCAUUAUUAAGCCAUUAUUUGAGCUCCAUUUUUGCCAAGAAAAUGUAUGAUGUGAAAUGUGUGGUUAAAAAAUAAGGAAAAAUUUUAAAUUUGCGUGUAAUAUUAUUUUAUUGAACAAAUGUGUGAUUGAAAAGAUAUCAAAAUACUGUUUAAGAAUGUAUUUUUUCCAAAGAACGGGGCUCAAACAAGGGCUAAGGAUGACUUCUUUCAUUAAAGAUUCUGCUAUAGGUAAGAGGCAAACUCAAGUCGGGUGGGGCAAAGGGAUUCUUCCAAGAGAAUCUUAGGAAGAUAUAGGGAUGAAUCAAUUUUUGUGAGCUCUCUCAGUUGUGAUUUUAUAGCUGCAUGAUUAGUGGUUUAGCUGGCCACAGUCAAUAUAAAACAACUUAUAAGCAUUAGGUAUUCUUUGAGUCCUUAUGGAACAAGGAAGAUGGAAUUUAAGGACGUGCAGGAAGAACUUGUAGACAGAUUUACAACUGAUGAGAUGUUGAAAAUAUGAAAAUUACCUUGAUUUCUUUAGGCUUAAAGGGCAAUGUGAAGGUUUUCACUGCGGUAUGGCAUUGUUUUAAAGUUAAAUAUCUAUAUUCGCAUUAAGCAUUUUUUGGAUUUAUGGAGUAAUUUGAAGUUUUGGCAUAUUCCUGAAUUGUAAACCUUUUCGAUAACUUCCUCAGAUUAAGUGGUGGAACCACCAAUGGAUACUCAAGGUCACCUAUUGUGAAGGGUAAAUUAGUUUUCUUGAAAACGUGUCACAUCUUCUUGUGUUUGAGUUUCUAGAAACAUAAUCAGAAUACGGUUAAAAGGCCAAUCAGGUAACUCAGCCUUUAUUCUUUGUUAAUCAUUCUGGAGGACAGUUAUAGAAAAUUGACAUUCUGAUACAUCACCUGUGAUAGGGUGAAGUUUAAAAUUUAUUUGAGACUAACGAUUCUUGGGAUUAGUGGCAAAGUAUACUAUUCCCUAUUUGAUUUAGCUAAAAAUCGAACUUUUGGUAGAUUUUGAUAAAAGUUGAUAAAAUUGUGGAUCUCAUGAAAUAUAUGAUUGAAAAUGAAUUUUAUAAAAUAGAGGCCAAACAGAGUAUAUAUAGAAAUGCAAUUAGCACGUCUCUUACUAGUUGUUUGAAGGUUAUAUUGUAGAACAGAGUUAAUGGAUUUGUUCUCAUGAUUUUUCUUCUGAUGAUAACCAAAAAGGGGUUCUGUGGAAAUCGUAAUACAGGUACAAAUAUCCUCAUUGUGCUAUGCUAUCAUUGACAAGUGCUAGCAAAGAAUCUGAGAUGAAUGGAUAUUUUGUAUACAGAGUUGGGUGAGGGAGUUGCAUAUUCAUUAAUCUUUUUAGGACUGCUACUUGUUACUCUCCUGAUUUCUCUUAUUUUCUCUUUGUUCUUUAAUCCUCAAGCAUCUCAUAGCAAACUGAACAUAGCAUUGGAUUGUUUAUGUAAAUUUUUGGAAAUAACUGAUUGAAGUAUCGUAUACUAUUAUCCUCUUUUAUUUCGUUGAACUGGUCGGUUAUCAUAUUGCGUAACAAUUCAUCUGCCAACGCAUUUGCUUUUACAUCUCAAUGAAUUCUCCCUUUGAUUUUAGGAACUCACUGUUAGAUUUAGG